ACAGAUCCAGGCAGCUGGUGAAAACUCGUGAAUUCUCUGCAGCACAGAAGGGAGCAGGUUUGCAUUCAGGCCACUGAGAGGACGGAGGCUGCAUCACAGAGGAGGCCAUGGGAGGUCACAGGUACGGCCUCUCCUUCUGACUGUACAAUGAACUCUGCAAGCUGUGUGGUCAGAGUGCCAGGGACAGUCAGGAACUGCUGUCACCGUUCCAGGUGGAGCUGACAGACUGUCUCCGAAGCGCCCACCUGCGCGUGCGCUCCCUCUUCCCGGCACAGGCUAGAGAUGCGCAGAAUCCUAACCACGGCCACCGUUUCCUGCCUCCACGAGCCAUGCUCUAAAGGAAACAAAUGCAUCGCCCCAGAAUUCUUUGAAAGUUACAAUCAUCUGCUUAACUCUUUUAAUUUCCUUUUCCUUCAACUUAAACUUUAAUUUCAGGUAUCUUCUAUACAACACAGAAGUCACGUUCUGGAUAGAAUUAAAAGGAAAUUAACUUGGGGUUUAGGGUGGAUUUUUUUGCCUUAUUUUGCUUCUUAGUAACUGAAAGUGAAGCCUGAAUAAUGAGAAUAUUAUUAAUCCAUCUCCAUUUUUCUACUUUAAAGUCACAACGUAGAUUUUGGUUCCAGUUGUUAUUACUUUAAAGAGAGUAAUGAAUAUUCCAUGUGAGGGCAGCGUGUAUGAAAGUGUGCUGGGAAAGUUCUAUGGAUCUUU
rnacentral:lncRNA from 1 species